rnacentral:misc_RNA from 1 species
AAAAAAAAAAAAAAAAAAUUCUAAACAGUCAUACAGUUGUAUUAGGACAAAUGGGAAUAUCACUGAUGGAUAGACAGAGCGUUCCUAUUAUUUAAUGAUGGAAAACAAGGUCUGCAAGAAAGUGAGAAUCAAAAUUAUUGCAGCAACAAUCUGAGAAGCAAUUGCCCAAGGAGUACCAAAAUAGUUGUGCAUAUAAGCAGUACGCCAUCUAGGCCAUCUGCGUUGGCGAUAUUUAUGCACUUCUUUACAGAGCCCCAGAUAGUAAAACUUUUUCACAUAAGCAUCUAGGUAGAGCUUGCUGAAGAACUGGGUUGCAUCCUCCGGAUUCAGCCAACUAUCUAUGAUCUCUUUUUUGCAGAGAAUUUGAACAUCUUUUGUAGUGUUGAUGAGGUUAUCAAGAACAAUGGCGUAACAAGUGAUGAUAGGAGAGCAUUCUGGGGAACACUGCUCGUAGCUGAUGAGGUUCCUGAAGAUAGUUUCUGUUGUCUCCUGAAUCAACAAAUUUGGGAUUUCAAGAACGCCGUUUGUAAAUCUAAUGUCCAAGAUGCUUGUAGCACCUUCCAGCUUCUUGAAUUUGAUUCCAGAUUCUGCGAUUUCAGUUGCAGAAGGAAAGGUUUGCCAUUCUGAAGAUUCUAAGCUGUCCUUGCGCUGAAUAAUUGGUGCAACUAACCAGUUCCUUAAAAGGUCAAGGAUAUGCUUACUUUCGGCGAGCUGGUUUGGAUCUACAGGAGAUGGAGUAGAUGAGAACAUAUUGGCAAAGAAUUCGAUUGCAAGUUGAACCAGGGGCUUUGUAUCAUUAUCAUCGCUGGUCAUGUUGAACAAGCAAUCAAGCACUAACCAAGGUAUUUGAUUUUCUAGCAAAAUCAAGUCAUGAUACAGAAAUUGAAGCAAGCAAGACAUGUUGAAUAUUGGGUCAUCUUGGUCUUGACGCUCCCUUUCGCCAUCUUUACGAAAGAGCUCAAUAAGGAAGCAACCAUCAACAACCAACAUUUUCACAAAUUCUUCCCGUUUAUAAGUUACUUGUCCAGCAUAACACAGACGAACCUUGUCUUCAAUUUUCAUGAUUUCUCCGAUGAAUUCCCUCAUUCUUUUCUCCGGAUUUUGUGCUCUAGAGAUGAGGCCUCGCAAAUACUUGAAUUUAAUUUUCUCAGUACGUUUAAGAUUUUCUUGGCCAUAGUGUAAUGGCCCAAUGGCAAACGCAUUGGGAACGUAAGCUUUUGCAUUAUGCCUGGAGAGUAUUUUAGGCGUUUCGAAGAUGCAACAAUUAGGAGACAUGUAUAAAUCAUCAGAAACUACAUUUUCUAAGAAAGCUGCUAUUUCUUCUAUAUUAAUUGCUACAUUCUCUGCCAUGAUAAUACCUUACACCUCUGUUUAAUCUUCCUUGCUUUUGUCUUUAAUCAAUCUUACAGGCUCAGUUCUAUUCAUAGAAGCGGGAAAAGGUAUAAGAUAACUACAUAAAAUGUGCAAAAGAAAUUCAAGAACUUGCUCUAAUGCUGUUUGUGAGAUAAUGAAGAUCUAAAAAUCAAAUGUGAUAUUGUUGAAUGGUGGAGAGCAUGAUCAUUUAAUAGAACUGAUACUGUAAAUCCAAUGUCAUUUCAAAAACAAUGAAAUUAGCCCAUUUCAGAAGAAACAAAAUUCACUUACUUGGCAAGGUCUGUUGCAGUAGAAGACCAAGGGGAUGAUGUAUCCAAGCUGAAGGUAGCAGGAAAGUGUGCUCACUGCAAUUCUUUUGGAUUACUAGGCAAAGCAUUCAUACAUCUACAAAUGGUAAGCUUGACAACAAAUAUAACAAGAUGUGAAUCCAAAAACUCGAAGGUUGCUUGAAUUUUGAGGUUUACUUUAUUCUGCCUUCUUGUCAUGGUGUAGGCAUCUUUUGUUAAGUAGCGUGCAUCAACAGCAAAGUGAGCAGCUUUUAUCAUAAUAAAAUUAAUCAAUGGUAAUUUUUUUUUAAAUAAAUUUAUUAUGUGAUAAAGCUAUCUAUAGAUUAUUAACAAUAAAUAAUGCUAGGUCAUCUAUAAUGUUCAUAUUUAUUCUCAAAAGAAACUAAUUAUUUACAAUAAAUAUGUAGAGAAGGUUAACAAUAAGUUUAUUAUUUUAUUUUUAUUCUUUUUUUAUUUGUAGAAUAUAAUUUAUAAUAUUUAUUUGACAUUAAUAAUCACAUAAUAAGAAUGACAUUCAAUUAUUAUCAACCAUUUUCAACCAGUCAUCCCUCAUCUCACUGAUCGUUAAAAAGACAGAUCAAAAAUAUCUACAAUUGCAAAUAGUCCCUUGUAUUAAGAGAAUUAAAGAGAUUAAGUACGCGAUUGGUUCAUUGUAAUUCUAAAUUUUAGCAAUCACACUCUAAAUUGAUUUUUUCAAUUAAUAAAUAGAAUUUAAAGAUAAUUUAUAAUACCUGACUGAAAAAAGGGUUCUGGUUCUGGAGACCUUUAUUCCCACUCCAGUUGCCCUUCUCUUGGAGCAUAAUGGCUUGGCUUAUAUAGAGAAUAUAAAGAAGUGCUCAGCACCCAAUAAAACUUUAUGGCAAAAUUGACUUAUCGACAAGAAUGAAUUAAAGCAAGUUCUCUGCAACACUUCAUCCGUUGCUUCGGAUGUCAAUUGAUCUCCAACGUUAUAUCAAAUGCCCCAAACAAUAUUAACUUCCUCCUGGUAUACACAAAAAACCUAGCUCUGUGUUUGAUGGGAUGGUUACAUAACGACCAAGUAUCUUCAUUAUCAGUUAAAAAAAUGUGGGAAAAAAAAGAAGAAAAGAAAAAUAUGAUCAUGGUAUCAUUGAACAUUUUUACUUUUCCUGCAAAAUAAAACAAAUAAAAAUAAAAAUAUAAAGAACUAAAGUUUCGCCAAAUAAGGAAGGCUUCGAAGAAGAUAACCAUCACAUUCUUCUCUAGAUUACAUUAACCUUGCAUUUUCAUCUUUCAGCAAUAAUAUACAGCAGGACUAGAUAGAGGGACAAUUCUUUCCAUAGUGGAAAUCCUACUUAAUUAUGAUAAAUAAGGCCUGCAAACAGUGAGAAUCAAGAAGGUAUCAGCCACAACUUGAGAAUCAAUCAACAAGGUAUCGCCAUCUCAUCCAUUGUCAGUGGCAAUAUUCACUCACCUUCAGGUCUUCUUCACAUAGGCGUCAUGGAUAGUGGAUAACCAUCAUUUACCUUUUUAUUUAGAAGAACAAAAUAGCAGCUUCAGGAGCUAGGAUUGCAAAAACUUAUAUUAAUCAUAUCUCUCUCGACAACAUUAUCCAAAUAUGCCCCUCUACACAGAUAUAUAAUCAAAAGGGAGAAGGAAUGAGGUCUACACAUGCCUAUUUAUUUCAUGAUGGUAAACAAUGUCUGCAGCAGGGCCAAAAUGAAGAGGAAGCCUGCAACAACCUGCGAGAUGAUCGCCCAUGGAGUGGUGAAUUCAUUGCGAUAAAUUGCCCGCAACCUAGGCCAGCUGCGUUUGCAAUACUCAUUCACUUGCUCGCUAAGCUCAAGAUAGUAGUAAUCCUUGACAUAAGCACCAGGGUAGAUUGCCUUAUUGAAGAAAUUGGUGACAUCCUCAGGAUUCAUCCAGUUAUCAAAGAUUCCAGCCUCACGGAGUAAAUUGAAGUCCAUGGCAGUGUUGAUGAGGCAUCCCAUAAGUGCCACAUAAGAAGUAAUUCCAUGGGGGCAGUUGCUCAAACACUGCUCCAAGCAGAUUAAGUUCUGAAAGAUAGCUUCUGUCCCUUGUCGAAAUUCAAGAGGGGGGAUUUCCAGAUAGCCAUUUCGAAAUGUUACCUGCAAAAUGCUGUCAGCCUUUGAUUUUCUUCUGAGUUUGACUCCAGCCUUCCGAAGAAAUGUUGCAGGAGGAAUGGGUUUCCAUCCCCCAUUUGUUUCUAUGUCAUCUACUUGCACAACUGUAUUUUGCCCUUUUGCUUCUUCAAUUGGAAAAACCAGCCAUAACCUUAAGAGAUCAAGAAUAUGCUUGGGCUGUUGGCUGGGUGGAUUUCCCCCAGUUGGCACAAAUGCACUUGGGAAAAUUCGUUUAAGAAGUGCACUAACAUGCCAAAUAAGUGGCUUUCCAUUGUUCCCACAUGUCCUAACAAAAAUAUCUUCAAGCACAAACCAAGGUAUUUGGUUUUCUAGCAAUAUCAAGUCAUGGUAUAGAAAAUGGAGCAUAUAAGAGAAAACCGGGUCAUCAGGAUCCCUACGGUUCUGAUCCUGGAACUUAAGGAGCAAUUCAAUGAUAAAGCAACCAUCAAGUAAAAGAUGACAACCAUCAUAACCCUGAUCCACAUGGCUGGAAUAACACUCCUGAACCUUCUUCCCAUUAACCUUAACUGAGAACAAUUCAGCUUUAGACAACUCCAACUGCUUCCAUGUAGCCAGUGGGUUCCUGUCUUUAGAAAUGAGGUCUCGCAGAUACCGUGUUUUCAAUUUAUCAUAGGCACGCAGUUUUGGAUUGCUGUAAUGCCAGGGCCCAAUUGAGAAUGUUAUGGGAACAUAGGAUUUUUCAUUUUGGCUACGAGGAAUGUCAGGGAUUUUGAAGAUGCAUCCUGUCAUUGAUGUUGACAAAUCUAGGCUCAUGAAAUUUUCAAUAUCACUGGAGUUCACAUCAGUGUUGACCAAGCGCAAGAUGCAAUUUCGAUACGUAUUGUCAAUUGUAAUUUCCAUAUAAGCACAAUUGUUUAAAAACAAUUAAAAGAUAAUAAUUAUAAAACCUAAAAAGAGUGAAAUAAACGACAAUCAAUUUCCCAAUUCCUAUCCCUAAUCCGAAUGGACACUCUAAUUUUUCUUUGAGUUGGUCCUUUUUCUUAAACUAAUCAGUAAUUACCAUCAAGAUCAAAAUUUUGUAAGAAACAAAUAUCGCAAAUCAAGUAGAAAAACAUGUAAGUAGAUAUAUAGAGAAAUUUUUCUUUUCAUUUCAAGCAUUUCAAAUUUUUUAACUAACAGCCACAAAUGUAACUGUAAAUUCUAGAGAGAGAAGUAAAAAAAAAAAAUGCAACUAUGCUUACAACUUCUGAUUUUGAUGGUCAAGCCUAGGUAGAUAUGACUUCAAGUCUGCAAUAAAAAUUAAUAAUUUAAAGCUGUUAAAUGUAAUUUUGAACAGAGAUGAAAAUUUUUAUUUCAUAAACAACACCCAUUGCAGAAACAAGUUGCAAACCAUAAAUUUGCAAGUACUAAAGCUAUUGAUGGAUACAAAAGCUAUUGAUGGACUUCGAUCUAAAGCAUUGAUGAACCUCCCUAAAGAAAAGAGAAAGAAGAUUUUGGGUUAAUUGGGUGCAUGAAGAGCAUCGCAAAAAGAGGUAUAAAUAGGUUGAUGGAUAUGCAGAACGUGUGAAGCAGCGUGUUGUGACUUGACCAAGCAGUAGCGAAGGAGGGAGGUUAUUUCGCAAAUAAUAGAUGGGAAGCUUGGCUUUUACAUCAUGGAUGGGGCACGCAGAAGGAAGGAAUCAACGAAGAAAGGACCUUUUUUGGACCUUUUACAGUAGAAUAAGGAGUCAACGAACAAAGGAUCAGUAUCCAAAAAAAUGUACACUCGAAUACUUCAUUGUAAGCAAAGAUAGACUAUCGAGGCAGUAAAUUAAACCCCUUAAACCAUAAAUAAUAAAUUGAUCCCCUACACAAAGACAGAGAAGCAAUUCUAAAUUUGUUGAGAGAGAAAAAUCCCUAGGAGACCCAUUAGCGAAGAAGAAGAGAAAAGAAAAAACCUAUAGAUUGGCGUGUUAAAGCAGAUAACGUCUUAGAUUAAGCAAAUUGAACUCAAGUUUCCAUUAAUUGGGUUGGGCAAGUAAUGGACAUACCUCAUGCUCAGCUCACGAAACGCCUCGCAGUUUCAGAUCCUAUUUUGCUGAUUUUUGC